rnacentral:rRNA from 1 species
CACGUAGGGUGCGAGCGUUGUCCGGAAUUAUUGGGCGUAAAGAGCUCGUAGGCGGUGUGUCGCGUCGGCCGUGAAAACCUGCAGCUUAACUGUGGGCUUGCGGUCGAUACGGGCAUCACUGGAGUUCGGCAGGGGAGACUGGAAUUCCUGGUGUAGCGGUGAAAUGCGCAGAUAUCAGGGAGGGAACCACCGGUGGGCGAAGGCGGGUCUCCUGGGCCGAUAC